rnacentral:misc_RNA from 1 species
GUAGGUGAACCUGCGGAAGGAUCAUUAUCGAGUUAGGGUCUUCUGGGCCCGACCUCCAACCCUAUGUUUAAACUACCACGUUGCUUCGGCGGGCCCGCUUCCCCGGAAGCCGCCGGGAGGUGUCAAAACCUCCGGGCCAGCGCCCGUCAGUAGCCUACAUUAAAUUCUUGACGAACAGUGUUGUCUAAAUUUAAAAAAAGUAAAU